UACGUAGGGUGCAAGCGUUGUCCGGAAUUAUUGGGCGUAAAGAGCUCGUAGGCGGCUUGUCGCGUCGGCUGUGAAAACCUGGGGCUCAACCCCGGGCCUGCAGCCGAUACGGGCAAGCUAGAAUUCGGUAGGGGAGACUGGAAUUCCUGGUGUAGCGGUGAAAUGCGCAGAUAUCAGGAGGAACACCGGUGGCGAAGGCGGGUCUCUGGCCCGCAACUGACGCUGAGGCGCGAAGGCGUGGGGAGCGAACAGG
rnacentral:rRNA from 1 species